rnacentral:rRNA from 1 species
CACGUAGGGGGCAAGCGUUGUCCGGAUUUAUUGGGCGUAAAGAGCUCGUAGGCGGCUUAGCAAGUCGGGUGUGAAAACUCCAGGCUCAACCUGGAGACGCCACUCGAGACUGCUAUGGCUAGAGUCCGGUAGGGGACCACGGAAUUCCUGGUGUAGCGGUGAAAUGCGCAGAUAUCAGGAGGAACACCGGUGGCGAAGGCGGUGGUCUGGGCCGGCACUGACGCUGAGGAGCGAAAGCGUGGGGAGCAAACAGG